AAAGGAAUAUUGUUGAGGCCCUUCGACUUGUUAGAGCCCGAGAAGGUCAGGGUGAACACCGUGAUGACGCACCAGCUUAUCCAGAUGAUGACUCAGGCUUACCAUCACGGGUACCUAAUUCAGUUUCUACAGAUGCAAAAGCUUCUAGUUCUGUUCCAUCUCCAACUUCACCCACUACUGCAG